rnacentral:tRNA from 1 species
GGGAAUUAGCUCAGUUGGCUCAGAGCAUCGGAUUUGCAUUCCGAGGGUCAGGGGUUCGAGUCCCCUAUUCUCC